rnacentral:snRNA from 1 species
AUUGCUUCUUGGCCUUUUGGCUAAGAUCAAGUGAAGUGGAGGUAUUUUAUUUAUUUAUUUAUUUAUUUUGACCUAAUUCACCACUUGUGAAGUGAUCUCCCUGCAGGUGAGGAGCUGGGGGCUCAGACCAGAAUCCAU